UACAGAGGGUGCAAGCGUUAAUCGGAAUUACUGGGCGUAAAGGGUGCGUAGGUGGUUUGAUAAGUUGGGUGUGAAAGUCCUGGGCUUAACCUAGGGAUUGCGCUCAAUACUGUCAAGCUAGAGUACUGUAGAGGAAGGUGGAAUUUCCAGUGUAGCGGUGAAAUGCGUAGAUAUUGGAAGGAACAUCAGUGGCGAAGGCGACUUUCUGGACAGAUACUGACACUGAGGCACGAAAGCGUGGGGAGCAAACAGG
rnacentral:rRNA from 1 species